AACGAACGCUGGCGGCGUGGAUAAGACAUGCAAGUCGAACGGAGGAUGUGUAGCUUGCUAUAACAUCCUUAGUGGCGCACGGGUGAGUAACGCGUGAGCAACCUGCCCAUAAGUUGGGGAUAGCCCUGGGAAACCGGGAUUAAUACCGAAUGUGGUAGCAAUACUAAAGCAGUAAUGCGCUUAUGGAGGGGCUCGCGUCCUAUUAGUUAGUUGGUGAGGUAACGGCUCACCAAGGCGAUGACGGGUAGCCGGUCUGAGAGGAUGUCCGGCCACACUGGAACUGAGACACGGUCCAGACACCUACGGGUGGCAGCAGUCGAGAGUCAUUCACAAUGGGGGCAACCCUGAUGGUGCGACGCCGC
rnacentral:rRNA from 1 species